rnacentral:rRNA from 1 species
AUUGAACGCUGGCGGCAUGCCUAACACAUGCAAGUCGAGCUAGCGGCGGACGGGUGAGUAAUGUAUGGGGACUGCCCGAUAGAGGGGGAUAACUACUGGAAACGGUAGCUAAUACCGCAUACUAUCGGAUAACCCAUAUGGGAUUAGCUAGUAGGUGAGGUAAUGGCUCACCUAGGCUACGAUCCCUAGCUGGUCUGAGAGGAUGAUCAGCCACACUGGAACUGAGACACGGCCCAGACUCCUACGGAGGCAGCAGUGGGGAAUAUUGGACAAUGGGCGAAAGCCUGAUCCAGCCAUCCCGCGUGUAUGAUGAAGGCCUUAGGGUUGUAAAGUACUUUUAGUAGGGAAGCGUUACCUGCAGAAUAAGCACCGGCUAACUACGUGCCAGCAGCCGCGGUAAUUC